rnacentral:rRNA from 1 species
GACGAACGCUGGCGGCGUGCUUAACACAUGCAAGUCGAACGGAAAGGCCCUGCUUUUGUGGGGUGCUCGAGUGGCGAACGGGUGAGUAACACGUGAGUAACCUGCCCUUGACUUUGGGAUAACUUCAGGAAACUGGGGCUAAUACCGGAUAGGAGCUCCUGCUGCAUGGUGGGGGUUGGAAAGUUUCGGCGGUUGGGGAUGGACUCGCGGCUUAUCAGCUUGUUGGUGGGGUAGUGGCUUACCAAGGCUUUGACGGGUAGCCGGCCUGAGAGGGUGACCGGGCACAUAGGGGGAGUGAGAUGCCGCCCAGACUUCUGCGGGAGGGAGCUGUGGGAAAUAGUGCACAGUGGGGAGACGCCUGAUGCAGCAACGGCGCGUGGGAGAUGGGGGUCUUGGGGGUGUAACCCGCUUGCGCGUGAGGCGAAGCGUGAGUGGGGAAAAGGUGUAGAGAAGCACCGGCUAACUACG